rnacentral:ncRNA from 2 species
UACUGUGAUACCAAUAAAUGACCAUGUGAAGUUGAUGGGAGUCUUUCCAUUGACUUCAGUGGGCUUUGGAUCAGGUCCUGUGUUGGUAAGGGGGAA